rnacentral:rRNA from 1 species
UACGUAGGGUGCGAGCGUUAAUCGGAAUUACUGGGCGUAAAGCGUGCGCAGGCGGUUUUGUAAGCCAGAUGUGAAAUCCCCGGGCUUAACCUGGGAAUGGCAUUUGGGACUGCAAGGCUUGAGUGCGGCAGAGGAGACUGGAAUUCCUGGUGUAGCAGUGAAAUGCGCAGAUAUCAGGAGGAACACCAGCGGCGAAGGCGGCGCUCUGGGCCGGAACUGACGCUGAGGAGCGAAAGUGUGGGGAGCGAACAGG